rnacentral:rRNA from 1 species
AACGUAGGAGACGAACGUUAUCCGGAGUUACUGGGCGGAAAGGGCGUGUAGGCGGUUUGUUAAGUCUGGCGUGAAAGCUCUCGGCUAAACCGGGAGAGGUCGUUGGAUACUGGCGAACUAGAGGAUGGUAGAGGCGUGUGGAAUUCCGGGUGUAGUGGUGAAAUGCGUAGAGAUCCGGAGGAACACCAGUGGCGAAGGCGACACGCUGGGCCAUACCUGACGCUAAAGCGCGACAGCAUGGGGAGCAAACGGG